GACGGACGCUGGCGGCGUGCUUAACACAUGCAAGUCGAACGGAAAGGCCCUGAUUUUGUGGGUUGCUCGUGUGGCGAACGGGUGAGUAACACGUGAGUAACCUGUCCUUGUAUUUGGGAUAUAUCUUGGAAACUGGGGAUAUUACAGGAUAGGAGCUCUUGAACCAUGGUGGUGGUUGGUAAGAUUCGGCGGUUGGGGAUGGACUCGCGGCUUAUCAGCUUGUUGGUGGGGUAGUGGCGUACCAAGGCUUUGACGGGUAGCCGGCCUGAGAGGGUGACCGGCCACAUUGGGACUGAGAUACGGCCCAGUCGCCUACGGGAGGCAGCAGUGGGGAAUAUUGCACAAUGGGCGGAAGCCUGAUGCAGCAACGCCGCGUGCGGGAUGACGGCCUUCGGGUUGUAAACCGCUUUCGCCUGUGAUGAAGCGUGAGUGACGGUAAUGGGUAAAGAAGCACCGGCUAACUACGUG
rnacentral:rRNA from 1 species